rnacentral:lncRNA from 1 species
GACUCACACUAUCUACAUAGUAGUGUAUUAGAUUUAUUUUUAACUACCUAUGACAGUGAUCAUAUUCCAUUUUUCGUGAGGAACAUUUUCUCUACAUCCUUUGAGAUAUACUUAAGUAGCUCUCAAGAGGAUAGAAAACCCUACUAGACUUAUGAGGUGGAGGGGGAGGAGGUGUGUGGAUUGGCUCUAACUGAAUGGGUUCCAUGGGUUUCAAGACUCGUUGCUUUUUAGAGACUUUCUCCUUA